UACGUAGGGUGCGAGCGUUGUCCGGAAUUAUUGGGCGUAAAGAGCUUGUAGGCGGUUUGUCGCGUCUGCUGUGAAAAUCCGGGGCUCAACUCCGGACUUGCAGUGGGUACGGGCAGGCUAGAGUGUGGUAGGGGAGACUGGAAUUCCUGGUGUAGCGGUGGAAUGCGCAGAUAUCAGGAGGAACACCAGUGGCGAAGGCGGUGCUCUGGGCCGGAACUGACGCUGAGGAGCGAAAGCGUGGGGAGCAAACAGG
rnacentral:rRNA from 1 species